rnacentral:rRNA from 1 species
CCUACGGGGGGCAGCAGUGGGGGAUAUUGCACAAUGGGGGAAACCCUGAUGCAGCGAUGCCGCGUGAAUGAAGACUGCCUUCGGGUUGUAAAGUUCUUUCGCAAGGGACGAAAAUGACGGUACCCUUCAAGAAAUCUCCGGCUAACUACGUGCCAGCAGCCGCGGUAAUACGUAGGGAGCAAGCGUUGUCCGGAAUUACUGGGUGUAAAGGGAGCGUAGGCGGGAGGAUAAGUUGAAUGUGAGAUCUAGGGGCUCAACCCAUAGCUGCGUUCAAAACUGUUCUGCUUGAGUACAGUCGAGGCAGGCGGAAUUCCUAGUGUAGCGGUGAAAUGCGUAGAUAUUAGGAGGAACACCAGUGGCGAAGGCGGCCUGCUGGGCUUUUACUGACGCUGAGGCUCGAAAGCGUGGGUAGCAAACAGGAUUAGAUACCCUGGUAGUC